rnacentral:lncRNA from 14 species
GCAUGGGCAACAGAGCACUGAUAUCCUCACAGGGUGGGUGAAGAGCUGAGGAAUUAAAGGUAGCUCCUCCAGUCUGAGCUGCUCCUUGCAGAACUUCCUCUGCAUAAAGGUUGUUUGCACCUAGAGCAGCCCUGUCCAUUGUGCACCCUCUCCUCAAGAGACCAGUGGAGGCACUUUUUACAUUCCAAGCCCUGCGCUGCAGCCUCCCCUCCUCCUCAGGAUGGAGGUUCCCAGACUCUGUGCAUUGAAGCGUCCUCUCUGGAGCUGCUCACCUUGGCAAAACAAGAAGAAGAAUAUGCCUUCUGUACUGAGCUCCAACCAUGGGAGAGAAAAGACCAAGACUCUCCAGACAAAACAGGAGAUGCAAGGCAGAGAUGCCACCUCAGGUGAGCAACAGAAAGGAACAGAGAAAACAGGCACAGCAUUGAAGGCACAAGUGAGUCGUAAAGGAGAGGAACCUGCUUGUGAAAGGAGCAAGGGAGGUCCAGGAGUCCUGGGACAAUUUCUCUACACAGUGAUUAUGGCACAUCGUGCAAAGGAGCAGCGAACGGCAAGGAGGGGGCAUGAGGGAACCUAGCAGCAAAAUCAAUACUGAGCGAGUCAGCUGCUAUUGAAUGAGAUCUGAAUUUCACACCAUUGCUGGAAACCUUGAAAUAAACUGUACCC